GGAGGCAAGUAAAGUGGCGAACGGGUGAGUAACACGUAAGAAUCUCCCCUUCAGUGAAGAAUACCCUCGAGAAAUCGAGGCUAAUACUGCAUACGCCCUUCGGGGGAAAGACGGCCUCUUGCUGUCGCUGAUGGAUGAGCUUGCGGACUAUUAGCUUAUUGGUGGGGUAAAGGCCUACCAAGGCUGUGAUGGGUAGCCGGCCUGAGAGGGUGAACGGCCACACUGGGACUGAGAUACGGCCCAGACUCCUACGGGAGGCAGCAGUGGGGAAUUUUGCGCAAUGGACGAAAGUCUGACGCAGCGACGCCGCGUGGAGGAUGAAGGUUUUCGGAUUGUGAACUCCUGUUAAGUGGGAAGAAAGACCUGUGAAUAAUAAGCGCAGGGGAUGACGGUACCACUAGAGAAAGCUCCGGCUAACUUCGUGCCAGCAGCCGCGGUAAUACGAAGGGAGCAAGCGUUAUUCGGAAUUACUGGGCGUAAAGAGCGUGUAGGCGGUUAAUUAAGUUAGUUGUCAAAUUUCCUGGCUUAACCGGGGGCCGGCAAUUGAUACUGGUUGACUUGAGUGUAAGAGAGAGAAGUGGAAUUCUCGGAGUAGCGGUAAAAUGCAUAGAUCUCGAGAGGAACACCAGUUGCGAAGGCGGCUUCUUGGCUUACUACUGACGCUAAAGCGCGAAAGCGUGGGGAGCAAACAGGAUUAGAUACCCUGGUAGUCCACGCCGUAAACGAUGAUCACUGGAUGUGGGUUUUGUUUGACAAAAUCUGUGUCGAAGCUAACGCGUUAAGUGAUCCGCCUGGGGAGUACGGUCGCAAGAUUAAAACUCAAAGGAAUUGACGGGGGUCCGCACAAGCGGUGGAACAUGUGGUUUAAUUCGACACUACGCGAGGAACCUUACCUGGGCUUGACAUGUAAUUGACCGCUGUAGAGAUACAGUUUUCCAAGUUUACUUGGACAGUUACACAGGUGCUGCAUGGCUGUCGUCAGCUCGUGUCGUGAGAUGUUGGGUUAAGUCCUUUAACGAGCGCAACCCUUGCCGUCAGUUGCUACCUUCUUUGGAAGGGGCACUCUGGUGGGACUGCCUAGGAAACUAGGAGGAAGGUGGGGAUGACGUCAAGUCCUCAUGGCCCUUAUGUCCAGGGCUACACACGUGUUACAAUGGCUAGUACAAAGGGCAGCGAUCCCGCGAGGGUUAGCUAAUCUCAAAAAACUAGUCUAAGUUCGGAUUGGAGUCUGCAAUUCGACUCCAUGAAGCUGAAAUCGCUAGUAAUCGCGCAUCAGAACGGCGCGGUGAAUACGUUCUCGGACCUUGUACACACCGCCCGUCACACCACGAAAAUUGUCUAUACCCGAAAUUAUCUUAGCUAACCUUUUUAAGGAGGCGGGUAAUGAAGGUAUGGAGGGUAAUUGGGGUGAAGUCGUAACAAGGUA
rnacentral:rRNA from 1 species